CCGUGUCACAAUCAGAGCGAAACUUUUACCAACAACUUGAACACCAACAAAUAUACAACCUGAGAACCUGAACCCCCAACGGUUCAGCACAACACAAAAUAGAGGUUAGAUAACAUAAUUAUUAAAAGUGACUGAAUAUAACGCAUAUCAGACACUGAAUAAAAUAAAUACAAUUGAGUAAAUUCAACUCAUACAAUCACCACAUAUACAGACAUGUAUUAGACAUAUUCAUUUAUCAAUUACUCGUCACAUUUGAGAAGUAAAAACUCUUGAACAAAGAAAUGAAAUACACAAUGUCGAGUAACAUUUAACAUUUAAGAAUGUCACAUAAUUUCUAAUGCAUUUUAAUGUCACAUAGAUAUGAUGUCACCUAGACAUAUCUAUAUGCAUGUGGUACCAAUUCAUCAUAAUCUUGGAUAACUUAACUCAAGUGUUUUAUAUCAUCGUCUCUAAAACAUUUUAGAUCAUCGUCUCUAGAAUAACAGUAAACUAGAUCAUCGUCUCUAGGAUACUCAUCAAUAGACUCAACUUAUGAAUGCAUGAAAUGUGCAUCUACCAAACAUAUGGUAUCAACUAUCAAUACAUCAUCAUUAUAAUAUGGAUAACUUAAUCCAUCUUCAUCAUCAUAAGCAUCAUCAUCAUCAUCAUUAUCAUCAUCAUCAUAAAAUAUAGCAACUUAGCUAAAUUAUUCACAUCAUCAUUAUUUUAAUUAAUAACUCAAAACAUCAUUGUUAACAUCAUCAAUUUAAUCAUUAACACAUAAUUAGUUAGCUACUCAAAACAUCGUAAUUUAAUCAACAUAGAUUAAUCAUCAAGAUCUACUAAUCCUAGGGAAAUUAGAAUUAAUCCACACUAACAUAGGUUUUUAAAGCAUUUUCAAGUUAAAACAGGGCCUUGUAUCGAUACAAAACACAACUUGUAUCGGUACAAGUUCGUUAUUAUUUCCAAGUUUCUACAUAAUUCACACAUGUAUGUAUCGAUACAUACACUCCUAUAUAUCGGUACAUACACGCGAUUUUCCAAACUAUCAAAAGGUAGGUUAACUUAAAUUCUACCUUUAGUACAUUUCAUUCAUUUACACAUUAUUAACAAACACUUGGAAGACACUAAUUUACAUCAAUCAUGAGAAUCAAAAUAAUCAUCACUAUUUUUACCAAAACAUGGAAAUACCCAAAUAACAACAAUCAACAACAACAACAAGUAAAAGCAUAGAUUUUUAUCAUAUUAUAACAUCAUCAAAUCAUGGAUAAACAUUUAUCAACAUGUGAUUCAACAUAAAAAUCUAUAAUAACACAUUCCCAAUUUCCCUCAAUUAAAACCCAAAACCCAAAAAGAGAUGUGAGAGUUUGAGCUAGAGAAAUGUGAUUUCUCCCCUCUCAUUAACCAUCUCAUCUCAUAGCUACAAAAUCCAACCUCUUACCUUGUAUUAAUGUUGGAAACUCUAGUCCUCCACUCCUCUUGAAUCCUCAAGCUCCAAGUUACUCUUUGCUCUUGCAUUUCUCUUCUUUUUCUUCAUUUUCCCCGAAUUCCUAACUGUACAUUGCGAGCAUGAUUUCUCCCACCUCAGACCUUAUUUUAACGAUCCCAACGGUCAAAAGUUGUGUUUGUAUGUUGCAAACCUACCCUCAAAAUCUUGUUGAGAUCCAACGGUUAACGAAUCUGCAAUCGAAGUUUUAGUGGAGCUGAUGCAUGGAAAACGAGAUUUGUUUCUCUACUCUCAUUCUUUCCCUUUUUCUUUCUUUUCUCCCUUCUCUUUCUUCCUCUCUUUUCUCUUCUUUAAGCCAAA
rnacentral:lncRNA from 1 species